rnacentral:rRNA from 1 species
UAGUAUUUGGUCGUAGACCCGAAACCAGGUGAUCUACCCAUGGUCAGGUUGAAGUUCAGGUAACACUGAAUGGAGGACCGAACCGACUUACGUUGAAAAGUGAGCGGAUGAACUGUGGGUAGCGGAGAAAUUCCAAUCGAACUUGGAGAUAGCUGGUUCUCUCCGAAAUAGCUUUAGGGCUAGCCUCAAGUGAUGAUUAUUGGAGGUAGAGCACUGUUUGGACGAGGGGCCCCUCUCGGGUUACCGAAUUCAGACAAACUCCGAAUGCCAAUUAAUUUAACUUGGGAGUCAGAACAUGGGUGAUAAGGUCCGUGUUCGAAAGGGAAACAGCCCAGACCACCAGCUAAGGUCCCAAAAUAUAUGUUAAGUGGAAAAGGAUGUGGCGUUGCCCAGACAACUAGGAUGUUGGCUUAGAAGCAGCCAUCAUUUAAAGAGUGCGUAAUAGCUCACUAGUCGAGUGACACUGCGCCGAAAAUGUACCGGGGCUAAACAUAUUACCGAAGCUGUGGAUUGUCCUUUGGACAAUGGUAGGAGAGCGUUCUAAGGGCGUUGAAGCAUGAUCGCAAGGACAUGUGGAGCGCUUAGAAGUGAGAAUGCCGGUGUGAGUAGCGAAAGACGGGUGAGAAUCCCGUCCACCGAUUGACUAAGGUUUCCAGAGGAAGGCUCGUCCGCUCUGGGUUAGUCGGGUCCUAAGCUGAGGCCGACAGGCGUAGGCGAUGGAUAACAGGUUGAUAUUCCUGUACCACCUAUAAUCAUUUUAAUCGAUGGGGGGACGCAGUAGGAUAGGCGAAGCGUACGAUUGGAUUGUACGUCUAAGCAGUGAGAUUGAGUGUUAGGCAAAUCCGGCACUCUUAAGAUUGAGCUGUGAUGGGGAGAGGAAAUUGUUUCCUCGAGUCGUUGAUUUCACACUGCCGAGAAAAGCCUCUAGAUAGAGAUUAGGUGCCCGUACCGCAAACCGACACAGGUAUUCAAGAUGAGAAUUCUAAGGUGAGCGAGCGAAC